rnacentral:lncRNA from 1 species
AGAUAUCCUCAACCUGACAGGUCAAAGACUAAUCCUUCACGGAUCUGAGCUCCAUUUAAGGGUUUACCGCUGGCCAAUUGGUUGCUGGAUGCACAAAGCGGGAAUCGAACCCCCGACACUUGCUUAAGCGACCUAGUGAGCUAACCACUAGGUCAACCAAGCUUGGUUAAGGUUCACUAAUAAUUGAUAUAUGGAAUGAAUAUACACACUCCAAUAAAAGCG